AUUGAACGCUGGCGGCAGGCCUAACACAUGCAAGUCGAACGGUAACAGGAAGAAGCUUGCUUCUUUGCUGACGAGUGGCGGACGGGUGAGUAAUGUCUGGGAAACUGCCUGAUGGAGGGGGAUAACUACUGGAAACGGUAGCUAAUACCGCAUAACGUCGCAAGACCAAAGAGGGGGACCUUCGGGCCUCUUGCCAUCGGAUGUGCCCAGAUGGGAUUAGCUAGUAGGUGGGGUAACGGCUCACCUAGGCGACGAUCCCUAGCUGGUCUGAGAGGAUGACCAGCCACACUGGAACUGAGACACGGUCCAGACUCCUACGGGAGGCAGCAGUGGGGAAUAUUGCACAAUGGGCGCAAGCCUGAUGCAGCCAUGCCGCGUGUAUGAAGAAGGCCUUCGGGUUGUAAAGUACUUUCAGCGGGGAGGAAGGGGGUAAAGUUAAUACCUUUACUCAUUGACGUUACCCGCAGAAGAAGCACCGGCUAACUCCGUG
rnacentral:rRNA from 1 species